rnacentral:lncRNA from 1 species
CCUCUCUACACUCAGGGAUGACGCUGCUGCAAACACUGUGCCCCGCCGUGACCUAAAGUUGUUUGUUUGCUGGAUAACAAACAAACCCAACAACAAAGAUAUGAAGGACAUACAUGAUGUCGUGUACAACCUGCUGAUCUUCCAUGUCCCAUGGAAAAGAUGAGUGAAAGGACAGUAAGGCUUGGAGAAGGCUGCCCCCUGCCACCACUGAGGACAACUACACUAAUACAGACAAGAGUGCCUCAACAGUUACACACUCGGGAGUUUGGGUUUUGCCAUAUGCAACUAGCUACCAUCUCCAACGCUUGUGCAAAACAAAAAAGAAAACUGCUAAGUCAGGAGCCGGACACUAGGGUGAAUGGUGUGCCGAGAGCCGGAGAGACCCAGGACGAUGGAAAGAGAAAGGAGGAUAAGAUCAUCUCGCCCACAGAGCCUCUCACCCCGACACACUGA